ensembl:lncRNA
GAGAAAUUGAUUGGAGCCUGUCUGGAAAACGGCAGCCACUGGACCUUGUUUUUUUGUGACAUACCCAAGAGGACCAUAGUCUAUAUGAAUUCAUUUGGCGAGUCGGAGGUCAGAAAAAGUGCGGUGUUGAAAAACUGGAGCUCAUUUGCUUCAGCAAGAGGCUGCGCUGGAGAGUGGACCUUGUCACAUGUGAGCCACCCACAUCAACAGGAUGGGAACUCAUGUGGAGUGCAUGUCGUCAUGUUUGCCCAAUCUCUCAUUGACGGUAAAACACAAGUGGAGGAGUACAACACUGAAAUCACAAAGCUCAGGUCCCGACUUUGCCGCUACUUAUUUUCCUCAAUAGGUAAAGAUAAAAUUAGCUGCCUUCUUUUUCUCUAACAUUGGAAAAUGUAACUUGUACUUAAACAAAUUAUAUUUUGCAGAUCGAACUAGGAAGUGCAGUCAGUGCUGGUGUGUGAUUGCAGCCAAAGACUGGGUACACUAUGACAUGUCCUUAGCCAUAUAGAUUGUUUAUUUAAUGGACUUUGUUCAUUUGUUUUUUGUUUGUUUAUUUCUUCUUCUUCUUUUUUUUUUUUUAAUUCACAGGUGCAGUGCCAGAAAUGUGGUGCAUACAAACACAUGCGUUGUUCAAAGUCUGUUUGUGGCAUCUGUAUCUUCUGUGAGAGGCCGUAAAGCCAAACUGCCCGCAAUGAUUCUUGACAGGCCUAAGAAGGCCAAAACUAAAGUAACAGUGUUUAGUGUUCUGAGUGAAGAGGAGGCUGGGGAGCUAGCCCUCGGGUUUGCCGGAAGAUUGGCCUGCGAUGUCACAACAGACAUGGUCUGUAAAGGCAUCGACCAUUCAAGUGCUGAUAUGACAAAACAGACUCUUCUCAAAAUCCAACACAAUCUUAAACAUGAGCUGACUGAUUCCUCAACCUUCAGUUUGCUGACACACACCUUUGGCCCCGCUGCACUGGAUUCUGUCAUUUCAUUCCUGUGUGAAAAACUUGAUCUUGUCUCUUAAAUAAUGAAACCUUUUGUGACUUUUGUUUGUUCUGUAAAUCAGAAUCUUGAAAAUUGUUCAUUGUUGUUCUAAGUUUGUGUUAACUAUUUGGCAAAAAUGAUUGGUUCCUAAUCCAAACAGCAUAAUGACUGUUCUAACACAUAUCUUAAAAAUGCUACAAAGAAA